UACGGAGGGUGCAAGCGUUAUCCGGAUUCACUGGGUUUAAAGGGUGCGUAGGUGGGUCUGUAAGUCAGUGGUGAAAUCUUCGAGCUUAACUCGGAAACUGCCAUUGAUACUAUAGAUCUUGAAUUUUCUGGAGGUAAGCGGAAUAUGUCAUGUAGCGGUGAAAUGCUUAGAUAUGACAUAGAACACCAAUUGCGAAGGCAGCUUACUACGGGAACAUUGACACUGAGGCACGAAAGCGUGGGGAUCAAACAGGAUUAGAUACCCGU
rnacentral:rRNA from 1 species